rnacentral:tRNA from 1 species
GGUGAGGUGGGUGAGAGGCUGAAACCACCAGUUUGCUAAACUGACGUACGGGAAACCGUACCGCGGGUUCGAAUCCCGCCCUCACCG